GAUGAACGCUGGCGGCGUGCUUAACACAUGCAAGUCGAACGGUGAACGAGGGAGCUUGCUCCCUCCGGAUCAGUGGCGAACGGGUGAGUAACACGUGAGCAAUCUGCCCUGGACUCUGGGAUAAGCGUUGGAAACGACGUCUAAUACCGGAUACGAGGCGUGGGGGCAUCCCCAACGCCUGGAAAGAACUUCGGCCCAGGAUGAGCUCGCGGCCUAUCAGCUAGUUGGUGAGGUAACGGCUCACCAAGGCGACGACGGGUAGCCGGCCUGGGAGGGUGACCGGCCACACUGGGACUGAGACACGGCCCAGACUCCUACGGGAGGCAGCAGUGGGGAAUAUUGCACAAUGGGCGCAAGCCUGAUGCAGCAACGCCGCGUGAGGGACGACGGCCUUCGGGUUGUAAACCUCUUUUAGCAGGGAAGAAGCGAAAGUGACGGUAGGAGCAGAAGAAGCACCGGCUAACUACGUGCCAGCCGCCGCCGUAAUAC
rnacentral:rRNA from 1 species